GGACGCCUAAGUGGUUUUAACCAAAGAAAAAUAAAAAGAAAAAGAAAUUAAGAGUGAGGAGUCAUUCACUAAUUAGGAAACAGUUUGAUGUAGAGGUGUAGGAAUAUAGGAUGGUUUGACCUAGGUUGGAGUUUUGGGGGUCAUGGAAGAACCUAGGUAUUAAGUAGGAUGUAUGAGAAUAUGAGAGAAGGGUUAAAUGGUUGAACAAGAAUGUGUUCUUGUUUCCUACGUGAGUAGGUAAGAGGUGGAAACCUAGGUCUGUAGGGUGCAGUAGAGGAGCUUGCGUAAGAGGAAAGAGUAAGGGAGAGAAUGAGUCUCUAGUGCAUGGGAAAUUUAGAAGGUUGAUGGUUGUUGGUUCUUGAUAUGCAGUUUAAUAUUGUUGGUAGAACAAGAAAAAGUAGGAAAGAGGGAAUAUGAGUUGUAGCAGAUAGUCUGUAAGGAGUAACUAUUAGGUUUGUGUAGUAGCAAUUUCAAUUUCAUGGAAAAAAGUUGGUCUUUGGAAUGGUUCAUGUUAAAAAUGGGUUGUUAUGCUACAUUGGGUAAAGGUGUGGGCCAUAUUGUAGGUGUAUGGUAGCAUACUAUUGGUAAGCAUAAUGAGUACCAAGAGUAACUUUUGGAAGAGACAAAAAGCUUCGUGAGAAUGAGUUUGGUGAGGGGACUUUUUGGGUGCAUGAAUAUUGGGUGUGGGGCGUGUAGUUAUGUGUGAUAAGUGUAUUGUAUAUACAAUAAGAUGCACUCAGACUUAUGCUUGUGAAUGUGGGAAAGUGGUGUGGGGCCAUGGUGUAUUAUGAUAUUAUAUUAUUCAUGAUGUAGUGAGAUGAGUAAGUUACGUGAAUGAAGGAAUUUGGUGAACCAAAGUGGGGUCCAUUUAGUUAGUUGGAUGGGGUUAUUUUAUUUGACUCUGUUGUUGUUAUAGAAAAAGGAGGUGUAGUAAGUAUAUAUAUUUGACUAUUUUUUGUAUUUUGGUUGAUUUUAUAUUAUUGGCAUAUUUGUUUAAUUAUUGUCUUGAGAAUGUCACUAUAUGAGGAAUGAUUUUAAAUUGGUUACGAGACAACAAGUUUUUGUGUGUGAAGUUGAGGAUUUGUGAGUUUUCGUUUGGUUGUACAUGUGUAAAGAUAUGAUAGGUUGUUGUGGGGUCUUCUCAUCGUACUUGAUAAAUAUUCAUUAUGACUCUUUUGGUUGUCGAUGUGGGAAGAAAAUAAGUUCGAGUGUUGAUAACUCUUUUGGUCCUGCGAUGCGGGAAAAAGGUCCUCUUUAGAUAUGCAAUGUAGGAAGAGAGCGAUUCUCUUUGGCUAUGCGAUGUAGGAAGAGGGUGAUUCUUUUCAGUUAUACGAUGUAGGAAGAUGAUAUAUCUGGUGUUGGAUGGUAGGAUGACUCGAACUGGUUGCUUCUGAUGAUUAGGUGGUAUAGUAGGGUAUGAGGGAUAGACCGUUGGUUUGUGAUAAUGAUGUGUAAUUGUGUUUAAGUUAUUGGCGUGUUUAAUAUUGUGAUGAAUAUUUAGCACUUGUGAGUUUUGUUAUUAUGUUUAUGAUUUAUACUU
rnacentral:lncRNA from 1 species